GCGCCAGUGGUGUAAUGGCGUAGAGCAUUCCCGCCCGGUUAGAGGGAGUUGCGGGUUCGACUCCCGCCUGGCGCU
rfam:Heligmosomoides polygyrus genome assembly, scaffold: HPBE_scaffold0006961